GAGCGAUGAAACACCUUCGGGUGUGAAUUAGCGGCGAACGGGUGAGGAACACGUGAAGAAUCUGCCUUCAACUCUGGGAUAACUCCGGGAAACCGGGGCUAAUACCGGAUAUGAGCCUCGAUCGCAUGAUUGGGGCUGGAAAGUUUUUCGGUUGAAGAUGACUUCGCGGCCUAUCAGCUUGUUGGUGAGGUAAUGGCUCACCAAGGCGACGACGGGUAGCCGGCCUGAGAGGGCGACCGGCCACACUGGGACUGAGACACGGCCCAGACUCCUACGGGAGGCAGCAGUGGGGAAUAUUGGGCAAUGGAGGAAACUCUGACCCAGCGACGCCGCGUGAGGGAUGAAGGCCUUCGGGUUGUAAACCUCUUUCAGUAGGGAAGAAGCGAAAGUGACGGUACCUACAGAAGAAGCACCGGCUAACUAUGUGCCAGCAGCCGCGGUAAUACAUAGGGUGCAAGCGUUGUCCGGAAUUAUUGGGCGUAAAGAGCUCGUAGGUGGUUCGAUACGUCGGAUGUGAAAAUCAGGGGCUCAACCCCUGACCUGCAUCCGAUACGGUCGAGCUAGAGUUUGGUAGGGGAGACUGGAAUUCCUGGUGUAGCGGUGGAAUGCGCAGAUAUCAG
rnacentral:rRNA from 1 species